rnacentral:rRNA from 1 species
GACGAACGCUGGCGGCGUGCUUAACACAUGCAAGUCGAACGAAGUGGCGAACGGGUGAGUAACGCGUAAUCAACAUGCCCUUCAGAGGGGGACAACAGUUUGAAACAACUGCUAAUACCGCAUACUGAAGGAGGGGAUUGCGUCUGAUUAGCUAGUUGGAGGGGUAACGGCCCACCAAGGCGAUGCUCAGUAGCCGGGUUGGGAGGAUGAACUGCCACAAUGGGACUGGGACACGGCCCAGACUCCUAAUGGAGGCAGCAGUGGGGGAUCUUCCGCAAUGGACGCAAGUCUGACGGAGCAACGCCGCGUGAGUGAUGACGGCCUUCGGGUUGUAAAGCUCUGUUAAUCGGGACGCGGUACCGGAAUAGAAAGCCACGGCUAACUACGUGCCAGCAGCCGCGGUAAUAC